rnacentral:rRNA from 1 species
CAGUAGCCGCGGGAAUACGGAGGGUGCAAGCGUUAAUCGGAAUUACUGGGCGUAAAGCGCACGCAGGCGGUUUGUUAAGUCAGAUGUGAAAUCCCCGAGCUUAACUUGGGAACUGCAUUUGAAACUGGCAAGCUAGAGUCUUGUAGAGGGGGGUAGAAUUCCAGGUGUAGCGGUGAAAUGCGUAGAGAUCUGGAGGAAUACCGGUGGCGAAGGCGGCCCCCUGGACAAAGACUGACGCUGCGGCACGAAAGCGUGGGGAGCAAACAGGAUUAGAUACCCCAGUAGUCCCUGUCUCUUAUAC